UGAAGAUGAGGGCAAUGGUCAGGUUCCUGGCUUUACUUGUUGAGUGACCAUACUGCAUUCUGGAAACAAAACAGUGAUAUCAGCUCUGCUUUGUCCAAGCUGACCGAGCCAGCAGCAACUGUGCCCAUUUCCAAACUGUCUGUCUCCAACAUGGUGCACAGUGCCCGGAAGCACAUUCGCCGCCAUUGACGCAUCGAUGAGUCGCCCCUUAACACCGAGAUACUCAAUUCUGUCCUUCUGAUGCUGCUGUGGAGAAGUCUGACUGUAAGAAUAACACUCAGCUGUCCAACUCCAGUGGGACAUCGGAGCAAGAGAAAACCUCUGAUUAUAACCUUUUCCACCAGCUGAAGUCAGCCCCCAGUGACAGUCUGACCUACCGUCUGGCUCUGUGUGUGUGUCUGGUCAACUAUUACUACGGUGGGCUGCGGGCUGUUGGACACCUCUGGCAGGAGUUUGUCCUUGAGUUGCGUUAGCGGUGGGAAAAUAACCAUCUUAUUUGUGGGCAGCCAACCCCGGCUGUGUCCUGGAGGAUUUUGUGCGCUGGUAUUCACCUCGGGAUUACGUAGAAGAGGAAGUGGUUGAUGAGAAGGGCAACACGAUGGUGACCGGGACACUCAGUCCCAGGAUGAAGAUCCCAGGCAACAUGUGGGUGGAGGCUUGGGAGACUGCCAGGGUCACACCUGCACGACGCCAAAAAAGACUUUUUGAUGACACCAAGGAGGCCGAGAAGGUUCUGCACUACAUGGCGAUGCAGAAACCUGCAGACCUGGCCCGUCACCUCCUGCCCUGUAUACUUCAUGCAACUAUUCUGAAGUUGAAGGAAGAAGAGUUUGCUGAAGAUAUUCCAUCAGUGCAAAAAACCAUUCAGCAAGCUACAGUUCAAGCGAGCAAGCUCCUGCAGUCCCCCAACCAGGACUACAAGAAGUUAGAGGAUUUCAUUAACCAGCUGCUGAGCAUGGAGACAGUCAUCACUCAAGCUCGCUCGCUCAAGGCCAAGUUCUCCGUUCCUGAGGACGACAGCGGAGAGGCUGCUGAUGAACUGAAGAAGUUUGUGAGCUCCCUGCUGGAGGAACCAGAGGUGGUAGUGACAGGAGCAGGCCAGGGCCUGGCUGGCAGUAUAAUCCACAGACUCUUCAUCAGUGCUCAGAGGGUGGAAGUUUGGAAAGCUGUGAGGGUCUCAGGCAAGGAGUGAGCAAAAAGCAGAGGCUCAGUUCUUUUCUCCUGUUCUAGUGGUGACAUCUUCAGAGAGCUUAGGAUAAGUGUCUCCUCCAUAUUUGGAGCUU